GAGUAGAAAACCCAGAGACGGCUACUUUCCAGGGUCCUGCAUCUGGGGUGCAAGUGAGGCACACGCAGAUGAGACUCCACCUGCCCUGGGCAGCUUUCCUGAGCCUUGAGAAACCAGCUCACCAUGAAUCCAAGGUGUCUGCUGUUCCUUGCCACCAUUUCAUGGAACCUGUUGUAUGUGUAUUUCCAGCUCUGAAAAGCCUGUUUUACUUCAUUCUCUUACCAAAGAGUUUGGUGACACAAAAUGAAAAGUUUGAUGGACAAUCUGGAAGAGUCCCACUAAGCAACACAAGAAAUACGCUCUCACAAAGACCUAUUCAUGUUUUCCAUGUUUCAAAUAUGACUGAACCUGACAUAUAUAAGAACGCAAAAGAUUCUUCAAAAUCAAACUGUGUCCGGAAUUGGUGGGUUCUUGGUCUCACUGACUUCAAGAAUGAAGCCACGGACCCUGGCGGUUGCUAGUAACACAAUAAUAAAGCUGCUUUAUUUUCCAGUGAAGAUGUAUGUGAUAGGGAGUGGAGGAAGAAAAAGGCCAGAAAAUUCCAUAGUUAGCAAAUAUACCUUUCUUACUUAAAAUUCUUUUUCCAAUGUGAGCCUUCUAAAGAGUUACUGAGAAAUUAGGUGAGCUCACCUCAUUUAAUGCAAUAGAUAUGUUUCUGAAAAAUAAGCAAUACAUAGGACAUUGGCCAAUUAAGAAUUCUGAUGAAGAAGAAUUUUCACAUCCGAAAGAGUAAAAAUGAAAAACGGUACAAAUGUAGUGGCUUUUAAAUUUCAAAACAAAUUAUUUUGAUAAGAUAAAUAUUCCUCUCAUAAAGUGAAAAUGGAAGAGACUGCUUGCUGGGUGUUCGUCAAAAUGGAGUUAGAUGGUCUGUCCCAGACUCCCCUGUUGUUAGUUCUGAGAACAGAAGUAAUGGUGCUUCUUCAGGACUGGCUCAUAGAAACCUGCCGUGUUCAGCCCCCACAAUCCUCUCCCUUCUGCUGGCUGGAAACAAAUGACAACGAAGCCUCACGUCUUGGAGAAACCACACUGCUGAGGAACUCAAGUCCUAGAAGAACCAUUUGAAGAGACCCAUCUCACUAAAGAAAAUCACACAAGCAAGAAGUAAACUUCAUUGUAUCUAUGUAUUUAAUUGUCAUAACAGUCUACCUUAACUGAUACAGCAAAAAUUCGCUCCUUUUCUGGA
rnacentral:lncRNA from 1 species